AUUGAACGCUGGCGGCAGGCUUAACACAUGCAAGUCGAGCGGGGGAGGUUGCUUCGGUAACUGACCUAGCGGCGGACGGGUGAGUAAUGCUUAGGAAUCUGCCUAUUAGUGGGGGACAACAUUCCGAAAGGAAUGCUAAUACCGCAUACGCCCUACGGGGGAAAGCAGGGGAUCUUCGGACCUUGCGCUAAUGGAUGAGCCUAAGUCGGAUUAGCUAGUUGGUGGGGUAAAGGCCUACCAAGGCGACGAUCUGUAGCGGGUCUGAGAGGAUGAUCCGCCAGACUGGGACUGAGACACGGCCCAGACUCCUACGGGAGGCAGCAGUGGGGAAUAUUGGACAAUGGGCGGAAGCCUGAUCCAGCCAUGCCGCGUGUGUGAAGAAGGCCUUUUGGUUGUAAAGCACUUUAAGCGAGGAGGAGGCUCUUAAGGUUAAUACCCUUGAUGAGUGGACGUUACUCGCAGAAUAAGCACCGGCUAACUCUGUGCCAGCCGCCGCAGUAAGAC
rnacentral:rRNA from 1 species